rnacentral:rRNA from 1 species
ACCUACGGGACGCAGCAGUGAGGAAUAUUGGUCAAUGGUCGGGAGACUGAACCAGCCAAGCCGCGUGAGGGAUGAAGGUACAGAGUAUCGUAAACCUCUUUUGUCAGGGAACAAAGGCGGGGACGCGUCCCCGGAUGAGUGUACCUGAAGAAAAAGCAUCGGCUAACUCUGUGCCAGCAGCCGCGGUAAUACGGAGGAUGCGAGCGUUAUCCGGGUUUAUUGGGUUUAAAGGGUGCGCAGGCGGUCUGUUAAGUCAGCGGUCAAAGCCCGGGGCUCAACCCCGGUCCGCCGUUGAAACUGGCAGU